GACGAACGCUGGCGGCGUGCCUAAUACAUGCAAGUCGAGCGGACUGAUGGGAGCUUGCUCCCUGAUGUUAGCGGCGGACGGGUGAGUAACACGUGGGCAACCUGCCCUGUAGUUGGGGAUAACUCCGGGAAACCGGGGCUAAUACCGAAUAAUACAAUUUAGCUCCUGCUAGAUUGUUGAAAGAUGGCAUCUCGCUAUCACUACAGGAUGGGCCCGCGGCGCAUUAGCUAGUUGGUAGGGUAACGGCCUACCAAGGCGACGAUGCGUAGCCGACCUGAGAGGGUGAUCGGCCACACUGGGACUGAGACACGGCCCAGACUCCUACGGGAGGCAG
rnacentral:rRNA from 1 species